CAUGAGAUUGACCUUGCUGAGCCUGUUGUGGUCUCCUGUGGACCCUGGGAGGCUGAGGUGCUGGUACUGGCAAUCCCUCUUCAUCCAGCAUGCAGUACUGGGUAUAGUAGGAUGUGUUCACCCCUGCUCUCACAAAGGUGUGUGAUGAGAGAUGGGUGCCCCAAAGGAGACUUGCUACUUGCAGCAUGGGCGCACUAUUUGAUUUCAUUCGCUAUAACUUGCCCCACGUUGAUGUUUAAGCCUCUGAGGACACAAUAUAAGAAGAUGACUCUAUGUAUCGUAAUGUCUGAGACAUGAGAGCAGGGUUGAAUAAUGCAUGUGUGAAUACCAUCCAAUACUUGGCCAAGGAGGUCAUGACCUCCUUAUAUGAAUAGGCACAUCUUGCCUAUUCCUUUGAAAAUGGCCCCCUAGAAUGCAUAAGGUCCUUUCCACUUCAGCAUAAUUUAUAUCUUCC
rnacentral:lncRNA from 1 species